rnacentral:rRNA from 1 species
GAUGAACGCUGGCGGCGUGCUUAACACAUGCAAGUCGAACGGAGUGCUCUCGAAAGAGGAUUCGUCCAAUUGAGAGAGUUACUUAGUGGCGGACGGGUGAGUAACGCGUGAGGAACCUGCCUCGGAGUGGGGAAUAACAGUUAGAAAUUGUGCUAAUACCGCAUGAUGCAGUUGAGUCGCAUGGCUCUGACUGCCAAAGAUUUAUCGCUCUAAGAUGGCCUCGCGUCUGAUUAGCUAGUUGGUAGGGUAACGGCCUACCAAGGCGACGAUCAGUAGCCGGACUGAGAGGUUGGCCGGCCACAUUGGGACUGAGACACGGCCCAG